rnacentral:rRNA from 3 species
UUAAAUUGAAGAGUUUGAUCAUGGCUCAGAUUGAACGCUGGCGGCAGGCCUAACACAUGCAAGUCGAACGGUAACAGGAAGCAGCUUGCUGCUUCGCUGACGAGUGGCGGACGGGUGAGUAAUGUCUGGGAAACUGCCUGAUGGAGGGGGAUAACUACUGGAAACGGUGGCUAAUACCGCAUAACGUCGCAAGACCAAAGAGGGGGACCUUCGGGCCUCUUGCCAUCAGAUGUGCCCAGAUGGGAUUAGCUAGUUGGUGAGGUAACGGCUCACCAAGGCGACGAUCCCUAGCUGGUCUGAGAGGAUGACCAGCCACACUGGAACUGAGACACGGUCCAGACUCCUACGGGAGGCAGCAGUGGGGAAUAUUGCACAAUGGGCGCAAGCCUGAUGCAGCCAUGCCGCGUGUAUGAAGAAGGCCUUCGGGUUGUAAAGUACUUUCAGCGGGGAGGAAGGUGUUGCGGUUAAUAACCGCAGCAAUUGACGUUACCCGCAGAAGAAGCACCGGCUAACUCCGUGCCAGCAGCCGCGGUAAUACGGAGGGUGCAAGCGUUAAUCGGAAUUACUGGGCGUAAAGCGCACGCAGGCGGUCUGUCAAGUCGGAUGUGAAAUCCCCGGGCUCAACCUGGGAACUGCAUUCGAAACUGGCAGGCUUGAGUCUUGUAGAGGGGGGUAGAAUUCCAGGUGUAGCGGUGAAAUGCGUAGAGAUCUGGAGGAAUACCGGUGGCGAAGGCGGCCCCCUGGACAAAGACUGACGCUCAGGUGCGAAAGCGUGGGGAGCAAACAGGAUUAGAUACCCUGGUAGUCCACGCCGUAAACGAUGUCUACUUGGAGGUUGUGCCCUUGAGGCGUGGCUUCCGGAGCUAACGCGUUAAGUAGACCGCCUGGGGAGUACGGCCGCAAGGUUAAAACUCAAAUGAAUUGACGGGGGCCCGCACAAGCGGUGGAGCAUGUGGUUUAAUUCGAUGCAACGCGAAGAACCUUACCUGGUCUUGACAUCCACAGAACUUUCCAGAGAUGGAUUGGUGCCUUCGGGAACUGUGAGACAGGUGCUGCAUGGCUGUCGUCAGCUCGUGUUGUGAAAUGUUGGGUUAAGUCCCGCAACGAGCGCAACCCUUAUCCUUUGUUGCCAGCGAUUAGGUCGGGAACUCAAAGGAGACUGCCAGUGAUAAACUGGAGGAAGGUGGGGAUGACGUCAAGUCAUCAUGGCCCUUACGACCAGGGCUACACACGUGCUACAAUGGCGCAUACAAAGAGAAGCGACCUCGCGAGAGCAAGCGGACCUCAUAAAGUGCGUCGUAGUCCGGAUUGGAGUCUGCAACUCGACUCCAUGAAGUCGGAAUCGCUAGUAAUCGUGGAUCAGAAUGCCACGGUGAAUACGUUCCCGGGCCUUGUACACACCGCCCGUCACACCAUGGGAGUGGGUUGCAAAAGAAGUAGGUAGCUUAACCUUCGGGAGGGCGCUUACCACUUUGUGAUUCAUGACUGGGGUGAAGUCGUAACAAGGUAACCGUAGGGGAACCUGCGGUUGGAUCACCUCCUUACCUUAAAGAAGC